rnacentral:lncRNA from 1 species
GUCUGUUGGAUGAAUCAAAUUUACUACUCCAGAAACACAAAUAGAAAGAACCAUCAAACACAGACAGGCAUGCAAGCAAACUGGAGGUGCACAGAUUCAGGCCAGAUACAGCUGUUCUAGUGGAGAUGCUUUGUGAACAUUAAAGAAGGAAUGUGUUUUGCAGAUUUCAUUACCAUUCAUCCUACGUAUGCUUUGUGGGAUUUUGAGUGCUGUUCAUUACAUAAUUUACGCUGUGCAUAUCCGUUUAUUUCUCAAAUCUUCAAAGGCAGGAGUUUGCAAACUCCAACCUUCGGUGGUUGCAUACUAUAAUUUCCAAAAGGACAUUUUAAGAAGAAAAAGAAGCUAUAUGUUUGCACAUGGAAAAGCUAGGGUAAGUAGGAAAAUACCAAAUAUAAGCUUUUAAUUAACUAGCCUCAAGUGUCUAUUACACAGGAAAUAAAUUCUUGCACCAAAGACAAAGGUCAUCAGAUGGGAUUUGGCAAUGCUUACCUGCAAGAGUUGUAGUCAAGACCUUUUUCUGGAUAACAGAUUGUGAGAAAGGGAGAAUAAAGCGCCUAGUAAAAGCAUUGCCAAUAUUUCCAUUUUUCAGAAGGAAAUAUAUCAAGUUGCUUACCAUUUGGUAUAUAAGAGCUCAAAUAAUAUGUUAUAAGAGAAAUCCAACUGAGGAAGUCAGUCUCUGGAACAUCAUCCAUUCCACAUCUUCUGUCUGCAAAAUGAUGAUAUGAUUUAGUUAGCAGUUGGUGAUCCGGACUUAUCACUCUGGCUGGAAAUAGCUGACGCAAAUAAAGAGGAAGAUCAGGGAUGGAAAUGAAUGCGGCAGAGGAAAUGGUUGGAUGAGAAAAAAUCAGGAUCGGGACAUUUUUCCUUACAGUAUGAAUUUAUAUUUCUCCUAAACUUUUUGACAUUUACAGACCUCAAGCACAAAAAUGAAAGAGAUUUUCUAUUGAAUAUUGAAUAAGUUGGACCUUAAAGAAUGCUUAAGAACAAAAUGUGGUACAAUCUAUUUACAAUAUAACAUGCUUGCAUUCCAGUACUGUGUCCAUCAAGCAAAGUAGAUGGCACAAGCACUGUACCAGCAAAAUGCUGUUGGAAUCAUCACCUUGUGGGCGCCAAUACCAUGUUUGGCAUAUUAUGCAUUAUCCAGUACAGAUCAGCAUGAGUUAACUCCCAGAUUAAAUAGAUCUGGUUGAGAUACAGUACAUAAGUAUUGACAUGGUCCUAGCACCUAAGUUGAAGGUGCUUGAGAAAAUAGCUUAUGAGAAUUUGGAGAAUAAGAAGAUGAACUAUGGAGUAAAAUGAUUCCCAGUUAAAAGAGCAUGAUUCAAUGAUCAGAAAAAUAAAUAAAUAAAUAAAAGAGCAGGUGUAUAUUGUAAGUGAAUUAUUGUCCACUUGUAGAAGACAUCUCUGUGCAAUCUGAAUGUGACACUUGAUAUUGCAAGAUAUAUAGUUCUGAAAAAAAAAACUCCUAAUUUUGAACAUAUCAUAGUAAAUAUUUAUCUCAUUGUGGCUUCCAGUGCUUAAAAAAAAAGGUGAAUAAUCAGAAGCUAAUAGAAACGUAAUUUGGUGGGUCAAGUAAGGUUUCUGAUAAGAAAUAGGAAGGAUUUGGAUAAUGAGGUGAUAAAGUAGGUAAAAUGAACAGAAUAUGCUCCAAAAACAAAUCACAUGUUAAUAAAUGCUGACCUAUCUGGAUCAGGUUUAGUUCCACUAGAAGUAAUUUUAAUGUUCAAAGUUAUAAUAUGAACAGAAUGGAGCCAAAGCUUAUCACUUCCAUGCAUCCUAGGAAUGGAUCCUUUGGCAAUCAGAUAUAUUCAGAAAAUAUGUCAAGGUAUGCACUAUACUAUGCAGAAUCAACGGCCAUUAUUGCCUCCUCUUCUAAUAUGAAUCUUAUGGAUAUGGAUUGAGCACCAUGCACUACUAGAAAUCAUCUUCUCCAGAUCGAAGAUUUUCAGAAAUGGCUUAAAAUAAGGAAAAUAAAUCAAAUCAAAGCAUUGCAGGAUGUUGCAUUGUGUAACACUAGGGAUUUGGGGUAUGUGGGAUAGAAAUUCGCCUGGUCAAAUGGCCAACUUAAGCAAGCAAUAUGCAGGAAUGCUUGGUCUGGCUAUAGCUUCAAUAAGUGGUCUCAGGCUUUCCCAUCUACCAAGAAAACCUCAAGAAGAAAAGCUAUUCCAUUCGAGGAUAUAUAAAACAGAGAUGAAUCAUGUUUGCAAAUGUCCAAAGAUUGUUGGCAGAAACUAUACGAACACAUAC